rnacentral:rRNA from 1 species
UACGUAGGGGGCAAGCGUUGUCCGGAAUCAUUGGGCGUAAAGCGCGCGUAGGCGGCCCGGUAAGUCCGCUGUAAAAGUCCAGGGCUCAACCCUGGAAAGCCGGUGGAUACUGUCGGGCUAGAGUCCGGAAGAGGCGAGUGGAAUUCCUGGUGUAGCGGUGAAAUGCGCAGAUAUCAGGAAGAACACCCGUGGCGAAGGCGGUUCUCUGGGACGGUACUGACGCUGAGACGCGAAAGCGUGGGGAGCGAACAGG